rnacentral:rRNA from 1 species
ACCAGACUCCUACGGGAGGCAGCAGUGGGGGAUAUUGCACAAUGGGGGAAACCCUGAUGCAGCGAUGCCGCGUGAGUGAAGACGGCCUUCGGGUUGUAAAGCUCUGUCGCAGAGGACGAAAAUGACGGUACUCUGCAAGAAAGCUCCGGCUAACUACGUGCCAGCAGCCGCGGUAAUACGUAGGGAGCAAGCGUUGUCCGGAACUACUGGGUGUAAAGGGAGCGUAGGCGGGAGGAUAAGUUGAAUGUGAAAUCUAUGGGCUCAACCCAUAGCUGCGUUCAAAACUGUUCUUCUUGAGUGAAGUAGAGGCAGGCGGAAUUCCUAGUGUAGCGGUGAAAUGCGUAGAUAUUAGGAGGAACACCAGUGGCGAAGGCGGCCUGCUGGGACGCAACUGACGCUCAUACACGAAAGCGUGGGGAGCAAACAGGAUUAGAUACCCUAGUA